rnacentral:lncRNA from 1 species
UAGUGUUGAACGGAAAAUUUUCACAAAAGCAAUUAGCUAAGAGUUUGACUUGGGUUAGAAUUGAAUUUGUUUUGUCCCUGCAAUCUUAUCAAGAAAAAUAUUUAAAAAUAAAAUAGAUGUAUUUCAGUGGUUUUGAAACACCAAGAGAUAAGUAUCUCGGUUGAGAAGUGGUCAUCAGCUUGAAUUCAAACUCAUCAUAAGAUAGCCUCUAUAAGAGGCAUGACACAAGUUUGACAAAAAAAAGGAAGAGAACAGAGGAGGACAAAAAAAAAACGCAGAGAGAGGAGAAUAGCUG